rnacentral:ncRNA from 1 species
CGCCGAGGACGACCUCGACGCCGAGCUCGCCUCGCUCGGGGAGGGCCUCG